ACCGCCGGGUCGCCGCCGGCACGGUGCCGCGGAUGACGUCCGCGGCGGGCAGGAGCCGCCGGCCACUCCUGGCGUUCUUGGCGUUCCUGCGGCC
rnacentral:tRNA from 1 species